AAUGAACGCUGGCGGCGCGCCUAAUACAUGCAAGUCGAGCGAGAAGACGUAGCAAUACGUUUGUAAAGCGGCGAACGGGUGAGGAAUACAUGGGUAACCUACCCUCGAGUGGGGAAUAACUAGCCGAAAGGUUAGCUAAUACCGCGUACGCUUCUUGGACUUCGGUUCAGGGAGGAAAGCGAUGCCGAGGGUAUCGCGCUCUUGGAUGGGCUCAUGUCCUAUCAGCUUGNGGUGAGGUAACGGCUCACCAAGGCUUCGACGGGUAGCUGGUCUGAGAGGACGAUCAGCCACACUGGCACUGCGACACGGGCCAGACUCCUACGGGAGGCAGCAGUAGGGAAUAUUGGUCAAUGGGUGAGAGCCUGAACCAGCCAUGCCGCGUGCAGGAAGAAGGCCUUCUGGGUUGUAAACUGCUUUUGCCGGGGAUAAAAGACCCUUGCGAGGGAAAUUGAAGGUACCUGGUGAAUAAGCCACGGCUAACUACGUGCCAGCAGCCGC
rnacentral:rRNA from 1 species